AAUUAAGGAAAUUCUGCUAAGAGCAUGCACAUCUUGUGUAUAACGCAGAAGUCAGAAUAUCCU
rnacentral:sRNA from 1 species